rnacentral:rRNA from 1 species
GAUGAACGCUGGCGGCGUGCUUAACACAUGCAAGUCGAACGAAGCAUUUAGGACAGAUUACUUCGGUUUGAAGUUCUUUACGACUGAGUGGCGGAUGGGUGAGUAACGCGUGGGUAACCUGCCUUGUACUGGGGGAUAGCAGCUGGAAACGGCUGGUAAUACCGCAUAAGCGCACAAUGUUGCAUGACAUGGUGUGAAAAACUCCGGUGGUAUAAGAUGGACCCGCGUCUGAUUAGCUAGUUGGUGAGAUAACAGCCCACCAAGGCGACGAUCAGUAGCCGACCUGAGAGGGUGACCGGCCACAUUGGGACUGAGACACGGCCCAGACUCCUACGGGAGGCAGCAGUGGGGAAUAUUGCACAAUGGAGGAAACUCUGAUGCAGCGACGCCGCGUGAGUGAAGAAGUAAUUCGUUAUGUAAAGCUCUAUCAGCAGGGAAGAUAGUGACGGUACCUGACGAAGAAGCUCCGGCUAAAUACGUG